rnacentral:rRNA from 1 species
CAGCGGUGACAGGUGGUGCAUGGUUGUCGUCAGCUCGUGUCGUGAGAUGUUGGGUUAAGUCCCGCAACGAGCGCAACCCUUACAUUGUGUUGCCAUCAUUUGGUUGGGCACUCACAAUGGACUGCCGGUGACAAACCGGAGGAAGGUGGGGAUGACGUCAAAUCAUCAUGCCCCUUAUGUCCUGGGCUACACACGUGCUACAAUGGGCGGUACAAAGGGAUGCGAAACCGUGAGGUGGAGCCAAUCUCAUAAAGCCGUUCGUAGUUCGGAUUGCAGGCUGCAACUCGCCUGCAUGAAGCCGGAAUUGCUAGUAAUCGCGGAUCAGCAUGCCGCGGUGAAUUCGUUCCCGGGCCUUGUACACACCGCCCGUCACACCAUGGGAGUUGGCAACACCCGAAGUCGGUGAGGUAACCUUUAUGGAGCCAGCCGCCUAAGGU